rnacentral:rRNA from 1 species
AUUGAACGCUGGCGGCAGGCCUAACACAUGCAAGUCGAACGGCAGCACAGAAGAGCUUGCUCUUUGGGUGGCGAGUGGCGGACGGGUGAGUAAUGUCUGGGAAACUGCCCGAUGGAGGGGGAUAACUACUGGAAACGGUAGCUAAUACCGCAUAACGUCGCAAGACCAAAGUGGGGGACCUUCGGGCCUCACGCCAUCGGAUGUGCCCAGAUGGGAUUAGCUAGUAGGUGGGGUAAUGGCUCACCUAGGCGACGAGCCCUAGCUGGUCUGAGAGGAUGACCAGCCACACUGGAACUGAGACACGGUCCAGACUCCUACGGGAGGCAGCAGUGGGGAAUAUUGCACAAUGGGCGCAAGCCUGGUGCAGCCAUGCCGCGUGUAUGAAGAAGGCCUUCGGGUUGUAAAGUACUUUCAGCGGGGAGGAAGGCGGUGAGGUUAAUAACCUUGCCGAUUGACGUUACCCGCAGAAGAAGCACCGGCUAACUCCGUGCCAGCAGCCGCCGUAAUAC